GAAGAAGUGAAUUAAGGGCAUUUGGUGGAUGCCUUGGCAUGCACAGGCGAAGAAGGACGUGAUACGCUGCGAAAAGCCGUGGGGAGCUGCGAAUAAGCUUUGAUCCAUGGAUCUCCGAAUGGGGCAACCCACCUUAAAUACCUAGAAAAUCUGUUCUGUGGCGAAACGCCUGCGUGGGACUUCCCAUACAGGGCGCUAGCCCGUCGCCGGUUAUCCGGCGCGCCGUCCGCAGGCCUUUGGCCGUGAGGACAGAAGAGGUUUCUAGGUAUUGUGAUAAGGUAUCUUACUUUCGAAUACAUAGGGGUAAGAAGCGAACGCAGGGAACUGAAACAUCUAAGUACCUGCAGGAAAGGACAUCAACCGAGACUCCGCAAGUAGUGGCGAGCGAACGCGGACCAGGCCAGUGGCAAUGAUGAAUAAAGCGGAACGAUUUGGAAAAGUCGGCCAUAGAGGGUGAUAGCCCCUUACGCGUAGAACAGUCAUUGUCCUUGAGUAGGGCGGGACACGUGAAAUCCUGUCUGAACAUGGGGAGACCACUCUCCAAGCCUAAGUACUCGUGCAUGACCGAUAGCGAACAAGUACCGUGAGGGAAAGG
rnacentral:rRNA from 1 species